GACGGAGGAUGCAAGUGUUAUCCGGAAUCACUGGGCGUAAAGCGUCUGUAGGUGGUUUAAAAAGUCCACUGUUAAAGAUUGAAGCUUAACUUCAAAAAUGCCGUGGAAACUUUUAAACUUGAGUAUGAUAGGGGUAGAGGGAAUUUCCAGUGGAGCGGUGAAAUGCGUAGAUAUUGGAAAGACCACCAAUGGCGAAGGCACUCUACUGGGCCAUUACUGACACUGAGGCGCGAAAGCUAGGGGAGCAAACAGG
rnacentral:rRNA from 1 species